GAUGAACGCUGGCGGCGUGCCUAAUACAUGCAAGUCGAGCGAACAGACUAGGAGCUUGCUCCUCUGACGUUAGCGGCGGACGGGUGAGUAACACGUGGAUAACCUACCUAUAAGACUGGGAUAACUUCGGGAAACCGGAGCUAAUACCGGAUAAUAUAUUUAACCGCAUGGUUCAAUAGUGAAAGCCGGUUUUGCUGUCACUUAUAGAUGGAUCCGCGCCGCAUUAGCUAGUUGGUAAGGUAACGGCUUACCAAGGCGACGAUGCGUAGCCGACCUGAGAGGGUGAUCGGCCACACUGAAACUGAGAAACGGUCCAGACUCAUACGGAAGGCAGCAGUAGGGAAUCUUCCGCAAGGGGCGAAAGCCUGACGGAGCAACGACGCGUGAGUGAUGAAGGUCUUCGGAUCGUAAAACUCUGUUAUUAGGGAAGAACAAAUGUGUAAGUAACUAUGCACGUCUUGACGGUACCUAAUCAGAAAGCCACGGCUAACUACGUG
rnacentral:rRNA from 1 species